UACGAAGGGAGCUAGCGUUGUUCGGAAUCACUGGGCGUAAAGCGCACGUAGGCGGAUGUGUCAGUCAGGUGUGAAAUCCCGGAGCUCAACUUCGGAACUGCCUUUGAUACUGGCGAUCUCGAGUCCGGGAGAGGUGAGUGGAACUGCGAGUGUAGAGGUGAAAUUCGUAGAUAUUCGCAAGAACACCAGUGGCGAAGGCGGCUCACUGGCCCGGUACUGACGCUGAGGUGCGAAAGCGUGGGGAGCAAACAGG
rnacentral:rRNA from 1 species